ACAGUCUCAUUCAGUUGCUGCAUCAAGCUUGAAGUCCACAAAUUACAGAAAAGGGGUCCCAAUCCAGACCCCAAGAGAGGGCUCUUGGAUCUCACGCAAGAAAGAAUUCAGGGUGAGUCCAUAAAGUGAAAGCAAGUUUAUUAGAAAAGUAAAGGAAUAAAAGAAUGUCUACUCCAUAGACAGAGCAGCCCCAAGGCAUCUUGGCUGAUACAGAUUACCUUGGACUUUCUUUUCCAUGUGGCUGGUUUUUGCCUACGACUGAAGGUUCUUCCUAUUUUUUCCCAUGACUGAUGAUGUUCAUUCAUAUUUAACAACAAAAACCUGGGUGACUGGUGUAGCUUUCUUCUGCCAUUGUGAAGUUUGAUGGCAUGUCUUUAUAUCAUGGCCAUGGGCAGGACUUGGAAAAAGUUUUACCACUAAAGCAUCUAUGAACUCAAGAAAGAAAACACUGGCUAUGUACAAUGAUGACUGUGAUCUUUUAAAUUUAUCUCAAAUAGCGAACCUACCAGUCAUAUACAUACACUGCUUCCCAUCUGAAGAGCAGGAGAACUGAGACUCGCACACUUGUUGAAAAGCCUGGACAAGAAGAGUUAGUAAGUCUGAGAGAGAAACUAAGGAAUUACAUACCUGGCUUUAUUUGAGGCAGGAGUUUUUUUGGGUUU
rnacentral:lncRNA from 10 species